rnacentral:rRNA from 1 species
AGCCCUUCGGGGUGGAUUAGUGGCGAACGGGUGAGUAACACGUGGGCAAUCUGCCCUUCACUCUGGGACAAGCCCUGGAAACGGGGUCUAAUACCGGAUAACACUCCUGCCUGCAUGGGUGGGGGUUAAAAGCUCCGGCGGUGAAGGAUGAGCCCGCGGCCUAUCAGCUUGUUGGUGAGGUAGUGGCUCACCAAGGCGACGACGGGUAGCCGGCCUGAGAGGGCGACCGGCCACACUGGGACUGAGACACGGCCCAGACUCCUACGGGAGGCAGCAGUGGGGAAUAUUGCACAAUGGGCGAAAGCCUGAUGCAGCGACGCCGCGUGAGGGAUGACGGCCUUCGGGUUGUAAACCUCUUUCAGCAGGGAAGAAGCGAAAGUGACGGUACCUGCAGAAGAAGCGCCGGCUAACUACGUGCCAGCAGCCGCGGUAAUACGUAGGGCGCAAGCGUUGUCCGGAAUUAUUGGGCGUAAAGAGCUCGUAGGCGGCUUGUCACGUCGGUUGUGAAAGCCCGGGGCUUAACCCCGGGUCUGCAGUCGAUACGGGCAGGCUAGAGUGUGGUAGGGGAGAUCGGAAUUCCUGGUGUAGCGGUGAAAUGCGCAGAUAUCAGGAGGAACACCGGUGGCGAAGGCGGAUCUCUGGGCCAUUACUGACGCUGAGGAGCGAAAGCGUGGGGAGCGAACAGGAUUAGAUACCCUGGUAGUCCACGCCGUAAACGGUGGGAACUAGGUGUUGGCGACAUUCCACGUCGUCGGUGCCGCAGCUAACGCAUUAAGUUCCCCGCCUGGGGAGUACGGCCGCAAGGCUAAAACUCA